rnacentral:rRNA from 1 species
CACGUAGGGCGCAAGCGUUGUCCGGAAUUAUUGGGCGUAAAGAGCUCGUAGGCGGUCUGUUGCGUCCGCUGUGAAAACUCGGGGCUUAACCCCGAGCCUGCAGUGGAUACGGGCAGACUAGAGGUAGGUAGGGGAGAAUGGAAUUCCCGGUGUAGCGGUGAAAUGCGCAGAUAUCGGGAGGAACACCGGUGGCGAAGGCGGUUUUCUAGCUUAGUCCUGACGCUGAGGCGCGAAAGCAAGGGGAUCAAACAGG